rnacentral:rRNA from 1 species
GGUAACGGCUCACCAAGCCGACGAUGGAUAGGGGAACUGAGAGGUUGGUCCCCCACACUGGUACUGAGACACGGACCAGACUCCUACGGGAGGCAGCAGUGAGGAAUAUUGGUCAAUGGGCGGGAGCCUGAACCAGCCAAGUCGCGUGAAGGAAGAAGGAUCUAUGGUUCGUAAACUUCUUUUGCAGGGGAAUAAAGUGCGGGACGUGUCCUGUUUUGUAUGUACCCUGAGAAUAAGGAUCGGCUAACUCCGUGCCAGCAGCCGCGGUAAUACGGAGGAUCCGAGCGUUAUCCGGAUUUAUUGGGUUUAAAGGGUGCGUAGGUGGUCUGAUAAGUCAGCGGUGAAAGUUUGCAGCUUAACUGUAAAAAUGCCGUUGAAACUGUCGGACUUGAGUGUAAAUGAGGUAGGCGGAAUGCGUGGUGUAGCGGUGAAAUGCAUAGAUAUCACGCAGAACUCCGAUUGCGAAGGCAGCUUACUAAGCUACAACUGACACUGAAGCACGAAAGCGUGGGGAUCAAACAGGAUUAGAUACCCUGGUAGUCCACGCAGUAAACGAUGAUUACUAGCUGUUUGCGAUACACAGUAAGCGGCACAGCGAAAGCGUUA